rnacentral:snoRNA from 1 species
AGUGUGGACGAGGAAGACAUUAUCUCCCACAUCCUGGCCGGACUUGAUGAAGAUUUCGAUCCGGUGGUUUUUGUUAUGUGCUCCAGGGUGGGGCCGGUCACUGUAGCUGAGCUUUUCUCGCAGCUUCUCAGCUUCGAGA